rnacentral:rRNA from 1 species
GGUUCGAUCCUGGCUCAGAUUGAACGCUGGCGGGAUGCUUUACAUGCAAGUCGAACGGCAGCACGGACUUCGGUCUGGUGGCGAGUGGCGAACGGGUGAGUAAUGUAUCGGAACGCCUAGUAGCGGGGGAUAACUACGCGAAAGCGUAGCCAAUACUGCAUACGCCCUUCGGGGGAAAGCGGGGGACCUUCGGGCCUCGCGGACCGUACAGAGCGGCCGAUAUCGGAUUAGCUAGUUGGUGGGGUAACGGCUCACCAAGGCGACGAUCCGUAGCCGAUCGAGAGGACGACCAGCCACACUGGGACUGGAGAUGGCCCAGGACUCUCAAGUGGGAGGCAGCAGUGGGAAUGGAUAAUGGGGGGAACCCUGAUCCAGCCAUCCCGCGUGCGCGAAGGCCUUCGGGUUGUAAAGCACUUUUGGCAGGAAAGAAACGGCACGGGAUAAUACCCCGUGCAACUGACGGUACCUGCAGAAUAAGCACCGGCUAACUACGUGCCAGCAGCCGCGGUAAUACGUAGGUGUUGCUAAUCGAAUUACUGGGCGUAAGCGUGCGCAGGCGGUUCGGAAAGAAAGAGCGAAAUCCCAGAGCUUAACUUUGAACUGUAUUUUUAACUACCGAGCUAGAGUGCCGAGGGAGGUGGAAUUCCGCGUGUAGCAGUGAAAUGCGUAGAUAUGCGGAGGAACAUUGAUGGCGAAGGUAGCCUCUGGGAUAACACUGACGCUCAUGCACGAAAGCGUGGGGAGCAAACAGGAUUAGAUACCCUGUAGUCUCACGCCCUAAACGAUGUCAACUAGCUGUUGGGGCCUUCGGGCCUGGUAGCGCAGCUAACGCGUGAAGUUGACCGCCCGUGAGUACGGUCGCAAGAUUAAAACUCAAAGGAAUUGACGGGGACCGCACAAGCGGUGACGAUGUGGAUUAAUUCUAUGCAACGCGAAAAAACCUUACCUACCCUUGACAUGUCUGGAAUCCCGAAGAGAUUUGGGAGUGCUCAAGAGAACCGGAACACAGGUGUUGCAUGGCUGUCGUCAGCUGUGUCGUGAGAUGUUGCUGUUUCCGCAACGAGCGCAAACUUUGUCAUUAGUUGCUACGAAAGGGCACUCUAAUGAGACUGCCGCAACAUGGGGAUGACGUCAAGUCCUCAUGGCCCUUAUGGGUAGGGCUUCACACGUCAUACAAUGGUCGGGACAGAGGGUCGCUAACCCGCGAGGGGGAGCCAAUCCCAGAAACCCGAUCGUAGUCCGGAUCGCAGUUCGCAACCCGACUGCGUGAAGUCGGAAUCGCCAGUAUCUGCGCGGAUCAGCAUGUCGCGGUGAAUACGUCUUCGGGUCUUGUACACACCGCCCGUCACACCAUGGGAGUGGGUUUUACCAGAAGUAGUUAGCCUAACCGUAAGGAGGGCGAUUACCACGGGUAGGAUUCAUGACUGGGGUGAAGUCGUAACAAGGUAG